UUACACCCGGAAAUCGCGUGCUAUGUUUCUCGUUUGGAAACCUGAACCGGCAUGGUUGUGUGAAUGAAUGGACGCCCGGCAGGUAAGUGGGGGGAUGAAUAUCUAUGUGAAUGCAUGUGUAAGUCAACCUAUAGAGCUCCAAGUGUGCAUCCUUGGUAAACCCUAUCAAACAGAGAAGGGAGAUGGAAAAGUAGCGCUGUUUCAUGCGUAACUAGCGACGCUGGUGGAGGGGCUGCUAAACUUUUUACCUCGGGUCCUGGACUAUGUCACUUAAUUCUAGUUGUGUUUGCUGGUAGUCUGUUGGCAUCUAGUAGCACCAAUGCUUUUCACUUUCACGUUGACUGGCUCCAUUUGUAAUUGUCUUAAGUAUUUAUCUGCAUUAUAUCUGAGUUUAAUGGGAACGUUAUGAGCGGGCACGAGUGUGUUUGUGGGUGCCGCUUGCUUUAACAUUACCAUAACUGUGAAACAGCGCCCCCAAAUCUCACUUGUGGUCAAAAAUAUAUUGCAUCCGUAGUGUAAAGGACUACCAUUCGAAAUGAAUGGGAGACGUUAAGGAAGUAAAACUUAAGGAGAGACGCAGGACUAGGGUUUGAUUCCCUAAUGAUGAGGCAUCUUACCUUUCCCCCUCAAAAGUGUCCCAGGUUUCAAUUUUAUUAGGAGCACCGUGAAAAAAAAACAGUCCCGUCAGAAACAGUCUAAUCAGAUAAUAAGAGCAGAAGUUCUUGGUAUCAUCCUACUCACUCUUAAAAAAUAAGCACUUUCACUCUUCAUUUACCAAGAAAAAAAUAUAAUAAAUAAAAGGAUUCAAUAGACAAUAAUGUUUCCGCCCGGUUUCGAACCGGGGACCUUUCGCGUGUUAGGCGAACGUGAUAACCACUACACUACGGAAACGAUGAAUGUUGAAUGAAGGGCAGUCCAUGUAAUAUUGAACAGCAACAAUGACAAAACUAUUUAAGGGCGAAAUUACAAAGGAUUGAGCAAAAAAACUGUUGGGAAAUUGUUUCCAUUACUGCAACACUUUAAAACACAUGGUAAUGGGACUAUACCCUGAUAAUUAAAGCUUUAAUCAAUGUUUAGGCCACAUCCUGUACUGAUCUGUUUGGCACUGUCUUGUACUUUCUUUAGCUGUUUGGACAAGUAAGUGUUACAGAUAAUCAAAAAGGAUUUUAUUAGAUGAUCCAGGACAAGAUAAACUGACCCACACAGAGAAGAAGCCAGUGAUGUAUCAUGCGAGGAUGCAAAGAAGAAAGGGGUAAAGAAAUUAUUUGUCAUUCACAAGGAAAGGUUUUAUUUUGCAGCAAAAUUAAGUGUUUUUGCUUUCAUUGGUAAGAGAUUGUGUUUUUUUUUUUGUUUCCCUCGCUUUCUAAGAAUGAAAGUGUAAAAUGAGGAUUUGAAAACAAUGGUUUCAUCCGGGAUCUUGUAAAAAUAGUCACAUUAACAUAACUAUUUUUAAAGAACUCACAGACACAAAUUGAUGAAUUAUCACACACAUUAAGGUUGGUCUAUGCAUUUUAAACUGUAGACUCUGUGGUUGAUAUAACCUCUGACCUGCUGGCUCUCAGAGGGAAUUUCUUCUGUAGAUCAUGUUACUGAUUUCGCCUGAAGCCUUGACUGAAGUAAAAGUGAAAGUAUGCAGGCUGCCAACGCCGCUCACAGUGGGUUUCUUUCUUUGUUCAGUUUAUCUAGCAUUUACAACAACUGUGGAUCGUUUUCUAUGUGGACAUAACCUCUGUUUGGAUAAAGGAUAUCUACGUUAUUUACGGUGAGUUUUCUUCUAUAGUUUUUGGCCUGAUGUAGGCUCUUUAAUACAGAAACAGCCUUUAGUCAAAUACUGUCAUGGAUGUGCUGCUCCACGAAGAUGGCUUUCAUUUGUGUCGACUUUCUUUUCUAGUUUAUUCAUUUUUAGUUUAAUUGUAGAUCAUUUACAUUCGGUUUAAACAUCUCAUUCCUGUCUAGUUCAUCUGUUUUCCCUGUUUUUAACAGAGACGUGUAUGACUUAGCGGAAACUGUGAUAUUAAUAGCAGCACAAAAUCUGUUCUGACAUCUCUUUCCUUCCUUCUUCUCUUUCAUUUUAAACAGUUCUUUAAUCCUCUUUUUUACGAUGUUUCUGGUGAUGCUAAGUCUGAUUAUAAGGGCUUUUUUGCUCUUUUUCUUCAGCUGUAUGUUGGCUUAUUUUAGAGCUUAUUCUCUGAAUGUUUUAAUUCUUAAUAGUUCAAUUUAUUCGCAUUGUUCACUUUGCAAUAAACCACAAAUAGCCUAAAAGAAAAAAACUACAGUGUGAAACAGCUCUGAGCUUCAAUGCUGAUUCAUUUUUUAUUUCGGUUUGCAUGAAAUCACGUCAGUUCCGCCUUUUUUUAAAUGUCGAUAUGUUGUCAAGCGGAUACUUUCAGAUCUGCCUUCCUUGAAUCUGCAAUCCUGUUCAAAUUUUAAAAAAUUACAUGCAGGACCACAGAGAGCCACUAGAUGACGCCAAAUACACCCUGGUUGUGUUGAAGUAGCCAGGUUGAUUGUAAACAUGUAUGCCAGAGGUCAAAUGAAAAUUAAGGCUAUGGUCACACUGCAGGUCGAUUCCAAUUUUUUAACCAUUUGUGACACAUAUCUGAUUUUUUCAUGUAAGUGUGAAGUCCGACCCAGGCCUCUUUUGUAUGUUGAUAUAAAUCGGAUAUGUAUACGAUGUGACUGCAGUGUGGAAGCUCAGGUCGUGUUCAUCUGACCUGUACGUUAUCAAUAUGCAACAAACGUCACCAUUGUUCAACAACACUAACAGGCGCGGAAAGCAAUUUGUGCUUUGUGCGCCUGAGGGUCACUUCACAAAAGCAUUUUGUUCACAUUGAAUGCCGAAUUUGUUGUUGUAAUGUGAACAACCGCACAAAAAGAUCGGAUUUAACAAAAAAACCUUAUUGUGCAUCAUAACCUGCAGUGUGAACGUAGCCUAAGUGACAUUUAUCAGUCAACAUAUUCAGGUUAUAUUUCUUUUCCGUUUUUUCACUUUUAGGAAUGACUUUAUUCCUGUUUUUGUACCUUUCAUUUCAGUGUAAGCUGUAGAACCUCUGUCGAACAAACUUGGAAUUAAGAGGAGUUGUUUAAUAUGACACAGAAAAGGUUCCAAAAAAUUGAAAUUUGAACAGACUAUUAAAAACACAAAUUUCUGAGUAAAAAUGCAAACUGUGUUUUGGAAACCAUGAAACUAACUACCUAAUUUCGGUGUGGUUUUAACUUUGUUUUAGUUUGAUCUAAAGUUUUCUAUGAAGUCUGAGUAAAGCUGAUGUCGGCUGAUCUAAAGACUUUACAGAUGUAGUUUAAUCUUUUAACAGAUAACAGUGAGGCACAUUUAUUCAGCUUGUUUUUCCUUUUUUUGUUUAAUCUGAAUUAGUUGAUUGUGAUGUAAGACAAACAGGUUUGUUUGUGUUUAUCACCGCUGGAUUAAACUACUUUUGAUCCCACUGACUGACUUAUCUGAAGCAGAAUAUUUGAUCUCAGUAUGACCCCUUGAUGUCACUGUGGGUCUAAGAUUGAGUUAAAGCCCCUAUCAUUCAUGACCUAUAGGUGGCGGUAAAGCCUAAGCUAUAACAGACAUGAACUCGACUGUUGUAUGUGGCGCUUACUCUCUGUUGACGGCGUGUGAAAAAAGGAAGUGUGCACACACGGUUUCUUUGUUAAUGACUCACUGGAUACUUGCCUUGUCUGUUGUUUACUCACUUCGAAACUCGACUGGGCUGUUAACCUGAUCAUGCUGUCUUGUGUAAUUUGCAUGUUUGUGAUCGUGUGACGGGGUGAGAGAGGUCACCACACACUGUACGUGUUUUCCUGCAGUAAAAUCAGGAAAUAAACCCCCUUCAGUGUGUCUCUAGAUUACUUUUAGUCUUUUAAGGCAAGUAGGGCAUUUACAUAAUGGUAACAUGCAUAAAUAUGUGGUCUAUAAAUAUGUACAACAGAUAAAACCGGUAGUCAAAAACAUGAGUUGACUUCCUCAUACCCACAUGGCAAAACCUUUGAAAGAUACACAAGUGGCAGAAAAGAUCUGGUAAACCUGUGUGUUUGUGACGGUUUGCAAAUAGCUGAACCAGUGAUAUUGUUAGUUUCCAUGGGAACUGUUUUGAUAUUUACAGCCCGUGUUAUCAGUUAUCAGUCAGUGACCAAGAUCCAAAAACCUGUCAGUAAAAUAAAUAACAGGCUGGCACUCAUUCAUUCACCCACUUGGAGAGGAGACGCUCAUUCCUAAAGUUUGCCAAGUCCUGGCAGCUCUUUGAUAACUUGAACCCAUCGCCUUCAGAGCUUAAGUUUGCACGAACAAGUCACAAUAAAAGUGUAAAGCAGGAUUUUUUGCAAAGUUUGAAAAACUUAGGGUUGUAUUAGUAGGUCAGGUCAGUUAUUGAGUUUUUUAUGUGCCGAGUCACCUCAACUCAGUCAAACUUUGGCGCAGACUGUAAGUCAGUUUUCAUUGUGAAGGGCGCCAGUUUCUUAUCUCCAAAACACAUCUGCAGUUGGCUUUUAGGCGCAGAGAGAUGUUUGGGUUUUUUUCUUUUUUGGCUUAACCAGCAUGGUGGAGUGUUAUGCAUGCUAUCUGAUGAAGCUCAUUGGUGUUAACUGGUAUUUCUUGUUUCCUAAUGUCGAAGUGCAGGGGUGUGCUCAUAGGUUCAGGUGUUUUUCAUCAUUCCAGAUGGCUUGUUGUUUUACUUUUAUAUGAUAUUCUCUCCAGGCUGAUCAUUUUGUACCUGCUUUAAGAGGUUGUAUCUCUUUAAAUGUAUUUUCUAAGAAUACUAGACCCCUAACUUAACAAAUAGGGUCUCAGUUUUCCUUAUUUGCUUUACUGUAUCCCCCAAGUCAUGCCUCCAAACUGUAAGGAUACAGUUUCCCUCCACAAUCAGGUACUCCAAAGACUUUGAAUUGAUAAAACAACUUCCUCCUUUUCCUUGUAUUUUAUUUAAAAAGAGAUUAACUGAAUACAAACUGGAUAUAAUCAGAGUAAAUCCAUGUUGAGACAACUACAGUGGCACUGUCACCUGAUUUAUUGUAAGUGGCUCAUUUACAGUGGCCUCCCAGCUGCCAAAACGCUCCUAUUCAGCCAAGCCAGGAUGUGGUUACAGCAGGGAGUGCUACUCAGGGUCAUAAGCCCAGAUCUGGAUUUCUUUACAGCAGGCCCAUUUAUAGGAAAUGCCUCAGUGUCUCCAGUGAGCAACUCCACCCCCUGGUGAGAUGUCGGUACUGCAACCUUCUCUCAGUGCCUUCUUUUAAGUCACGUGAUUGCAAAGAAAUCGCAAAGAGGUAUGAGGCCCCUGACUCAGCUGUUGUCAGUUUUUAUUGCAUCAUGUGUUUUAACAGUUUAACUUCUCUUAUCUGAAGAUUGCAGAGUUAGGUACCGGUUCAUACACAUGAUAUGAAGCACAGGAGCAGAUCUCUGUGUUUUGUCACCUCACACUGCCUGCAUGUGAACUCACUCGUGGGAGGUUUUCACUAUGAGAGAGAAGAGUAAUCUCAGUGAGGUUGUCAUCUAAGUGAUUUGACCUCUUUCACAAACAAAUAAAGAACCUCUCAGCCUGACUUUCUCAUGACAAGCUUUGCAGAAACUAACUAUGUCAGCGUUUAAAAUUCCCCAUAGGUGUUGCCUGAAAAUAAAAGAAACAUGGUGAUGCAUGUAAUAACCAUAGAAAAGAUGUACUGUGCUCUCUUAUAUUUGUAGUCUUCUGUUGGACAACCCUUUAACCCUAUUACUCUAUCUUUGAAGACGAUGAUGAUGAUUUUGGAGCCCCUGACGUCCCAUAACUAAACCAUUUUUUUCCCUUGUGCUUAUAAAUUGAUUAUCUCAAAGGAAUAAAUAAAAUACUCUGUGCAGCCACGACAUCAGGGGCUCUGUGGAUGUCCGAACCUUUAAAGAUGGAGCGUCAUAAUUGCUGUCUUCUAUUCUGAAGUGCAAAAAGAUGUGAAUGGUUUUCUCUAUUCCAUAAUAUUUAUGAAAAGGCAUCAAAACCUGUUGUGUCAAUCCUGGAAUGAAGAAGGGCUAUGAGAUGAAAAGACGGCUUUUUGACCCUUUAUAUCUAACCUGAAUAUAUUUUAGAUUAAAUUCUAGGGUAUAGCACGAUGAAGCUGAUGGUUUGUCAGAUAUACUGUCUCGUAAGAAACAAAAGAGAUCAAAUAUAAAUAAUGCAACUUCAUAAACUCACUAAAGCAGCCCCUGUUCAUUCAUAAGCCACUGUAAAACCAUGUCAGGCAUAAAACAUGAAUGCAAGCAAAACAAGAAAAAAAAUCUGUGGUAUGUCUUUGAACUGGUCCUGCGGGCUGCAUGUUAGACUUCACAGUGUUUUGUUUUCUUCCUGUUGUCUGUCGCUGCUGUUGCUGUGUGUCUGUGCAACUUACUGCUCACCUGUGGCCACACCUGCAGCAGGUGGCACAUUUCCCGAGAAACCUGAUUCCAGAUAAAAAUGUGAUCAAGUUUUGUAUCAGCACCACGGCUGCAGAGUACUACAGACUUUAAAUGACAGUAUAGUCACCUACAGGGGUGCAGACAUGAGGCUGAAGUUAUAGAGAAUGUUUAAGAGCUUCCUCUCUCAUUAAUCAAAACGGCCGUUGACUUGUGUUAAAUUUCAUGCACACACACACAGACACACACACAGACACCACAUUGUGAGCAAAGGCUGUAACAUAAUCCUUCAGUGUUAAUUUACAGUUCUGUUUGCAGGGUUGGGUCUGCUCCCUCAGAUAAAAUUUAGACAUAAACAUACCGUUACAUGUUUCCUACACACUUCAAGACGAGCAUGCUGUGUGUAUUUAUGAGGGUCAGACAAAGGCGAGUUGUAGAAUUCGAGAAUACGUGGGGGUGAGGAAAUGUAGGACGGUUCAUGUCCGCCCAGGGUCACGUCAGCCCUUGAAUCUUGCUCUAUGCCUGAACAUAUUCACUACAGGUUAGAGCCUUUCCAACUCCUCACACUGAUUCAAUCUCUUGGUGUGAAGUUAUGGAACUUGUUAUUUCAAGUGAUGCAGGUUGAUUGAGGGCAUGAGGAUGCACUCUUUAAAUUCUUCAUUGACGUCUCUAUCCACUUUUAUUUGGCACUUUGGAGAAGUCUUAAAUCUCCCUACAGACAGCAAAAAAAAACUAUCAUACGAGUGCCUAAAGAAGUCCAAGUGUCUCAUCAUUUCUGUGUUAUUAAUCUAAUCUUCUAAAAGCAAAGGAAGAAGUUCUGCUUCUUUAUUGGUAGCCUGUUGGAUAACACACAGUUUGGAGUGAGACAAGACUCCUCUGCUUCAUGCCAGGGUCCUGCACACUCUGACAUGUGUCCAAUCCGCAUAACCAGCUGUUUGCUAUGAAUCAUCUCUUACUCAUCAGAGAGUAGUCCAGAGAGGUCAGGGGUUGUCGCGACAGAUAGUUGAGCGUUGGAUCAGACUAUUGCACAAGAUACACUCUUAUUCCCUGUGAGAGUCUGAGUUUGCUCUUUUUACACGACGCCCAUCCUCAUGACCUUUAACCUCCAAGGGCUGUUUUGCAAGGGCAGAUAUUUGGAGUCUAUUUUUCCUCUUUCAUAAAGUUUUAUGCUGCUACAGAACUUCUAUUUUUGAAGUAGUAGCUGCUGCAUUGGUUCAUGUUUAAAGUAAAAAACUACACCCUUUUUUCUGAAUGUUUAUGAACUUUUAGAGAAAAGCACAAACACACCAAACAUUAUGCAUUCAAAGCAGAGGGAAGCAGAAGCAUGGCUUUAGUUCUUUCCAGAAAGUCAGCUGACUCUCUCUCUCUCUCUCUCUCUCUCUCUCUCUCUCUCUCUCUCUCUCUCUCUCUCUCUCUUCACUCGUGCUUGGUGUGUGGACACAGUCACACUCUCUCUUUAUUUGCCCUGUUUGUCCCCACAUACACAGAUGCAUAUACUCUCUCUCACUCACACACACACACACAGGCACACACCUACGUAGUUCUUGGAUUCUUGGCGGGCAGCUCCUGUUGUCCGUUGGCGUGUCAGGCUCUGUUUAUAUUUAAACAUGACAGUUUGAAUGAGUUAGAUCUUUCCAGCUGGUGUUGAGGAGUUUUUUAUUUAUUUUAUUUUUUGGUUCAUAUAAACAGCCGCUGUGGCUCAUUGGUGGAGUCCAUUUUCUCUCAACCAAACAGUUGCUGGUUUAAGGCCGUUACACAUCGGGAACGACGCAAAUAUACGAUGUGAGAUUACGAAAUAUUCAGAGGCAAAUUUUGACAGACCUGACUAUACACAUCAAGCGCGAUGCAAUUUUGCGAGAAGACUGACACAACAGCAGACAGGGGGCUCUAUUUUCGUGCGCGCCGGUGAGGCGGCGGAGGGCGGCGAGCCCCGCGCAGUUGUAUUUUCGUCUGGCGGAGCCCAGCGUAAGGCCAAUUUGGUAUUUUCGUGGCAUGAGCCGCACGGAGGCGAGCCGAGAUCCGCCAAGCUGGGCGUGGUGGUGUGGCAGGGGGAGGUGUCGACAGAAUCAGCUGGCGCAGUGACAUUUUCGUGCUCGCCAACGGCGUGUAAAGUGCGCUGAAAGCUCGCCGAUUCAAACCUGGUCAGCUUUCAGCGCAAGGCGGAACGCAGCUGGUCUAGAAGUAUUUUGGUAGACCGGCGGCGUAUCGACAUACGUCACUGAUGCCUCACCGGCAGGUUUCCACAGUGUCAGGCACAUUUCAGUGCAAUAAAUAAUCAUCAUCAACUAUUAAUCUGAGUCAGCACAUACAUUUAGAUCUAUAUCGAUAUAUUCUGAUCUAUAUGUGAUCUGAUGAGCGCGUUUGGCACGCGUUUGGACACACAACCUGACCGAAUCAACACAGCUGAAACCGCAUCAAAUUAAAUUAAAUAUCUAGUAAAUAUACACACAUGAUGAAGUUAACAAGAUAUGUAAUUCAUCUCCCUCCUUUUCUUUCUUCCUCUUCCUCUUAUUUCUCGCACAGCUCGACCUGGACACAUCUCCGUGUCCUCUGUCCGUCUUGCUGCUGCUGCAGCUGAACAGAUGAUUUGUUUCAGUGCUCAGAUGCGUUAUCUACUUUAAGCCGACAUACGGAUAUUAUAAUAUUCAGUUUUGUGAGCCAAAUUUAUUUUAUAUGCCAACAUCUAUGAAAGAAAGAGCCAGGCCACGGAGCGUGAUGCGUCAUUUACGCACAGAUGGUUCCGAUUUUAGUGCCAUUUUUGGAGUUUAUGUUGUGAUCUGUGCGCUCAACCCACCUUUGUCACGUGAGGUUUGAAUAUGAGCAACUUUAUGUGAGUGUCUUUAUUUGUGGAAAAGGGUGUUUGUCUUACCAGUGGGUCCAACAUUACGCACACUAAAUCCAUCUGUGCUCAUAUGAGAGAGUGUGGAGGACACUUGUUGAGGAGCUGCCCUCUGUCGCCAUCUUGUGGCAUUACUGUCUUAAGACAUCUCUUGAUCUCUUUGACUACUUCAUGAAAAUAGUAAUACGCCUCGCCUGUGGCGGAUUUAAAGGCAAGGAGAGGAGCCUAUGUGAUUGGUGAAAACAGGUCUCGGCUGUGUUAAACCCACUUCACGCUUUUCUCCUCCCCGUCUACGAAUUAUGGUGCUGGGAGGAGCUGAGUUAGGGAGGGGGGAUACUUACGCCGGGCUGCGCGGCUCACCAAAAUACCAAAAUGUGCUUGGGAACGCCUUGUCAGCGCGGCGGAUCUGACUGACGCUGCGCUUGCGGCACGUCUCCGGCGAGGCAACAAAAUAGAGCCCUGAGUGUUUUCAGUUCUGAUUAGACACUAGUGUUGAGAUGUCUGUCUGUCAUGAUAGCAUGUACUGAGUCGGGGCCAGUAUCAGAUAAACACAUUAAACUAUAAUCCAUAAACGUAAGGUAACAACCGAGACCUAAUGGUGCUGUGACAGCAACAUGAUUGAGUUUGAGACAGUGAAAAUACAUAUGGUAUGUUGUAUCUGAACAGGUUAGCUUACGAGCUAAAGUUACUUAGCACAGAUGAAAGUUAAAACAAAGACGUUUAGCAAACUGUUAAAGCACACAAACCAUCGUCAUAUGAGAAAUCCGACACUAUGACUCUCCACAAGUUAUCCUUCAGGUCGUUAUCUUUGUAAUAUUUGUGUUUUUUAUCAAAAAGCACUCUGUUCUCCGACACGUAAACAAACAGCCAGUCGGCCAUGUUGGAUAUACCGGUGAAUCUGAUGUCGCAACAACACGCAAUCUGAUUGGUCGGAAGAGGACACACAGUAUGCAAAACUUUAGAAAAAUAGUCAGUGAAAUGAAAAAAAUAUUGCAGGAUGGGAAAACAUCGCUGAUGUGAACACUUGUAUUGACAGGAUACAGGUUUGAAAAAAAAUAUAGAUGUCAGAAAUAAUUGCAUGAAAAAAACGCUCCCGGUGUGUAAUGACCUUUAGCCAGAGCCCGAAUAGUUUCUGGUGGUGGGGUUUCUUUCUAAUGAAUUACAACAGCAAUAAGGUGUGGCACCGCUGGGGGGUCAUUAAGGCCGUUAUUGGUUUGACAGAUGCCUCCAGCUCAUCUGUGCCGUCAAAAACCUCGAAGAGUUCAGGUCAGGUGAGCUUUUGUCUCCAAGCCGAGCUGUUGGCAGUUUGGUGAUACAGGAUUUCAACAUAGCUUCAAAUAAAAACUCUAUGAUGAAAGUACAUCAUUUAUUUUUAACCUUUAAUGAAUCAUGAUGAUUUAGGUGAGCUGUAUGACUAACUCCUGUUGGUUGCAAUUAUUGAAUGACAAAUACUAUGAGUUUUGAUUAACAGUCAUUUGACAAAUAUGUUGUUUUGAUUGUCAGUGUUUGUAAUUCUUUGACUCCUUUAACUCAUUUUAACUUUUCUGAAGGGGUUUCGGUGUCUUACAUUUGUACAGCUGAAGAGAGCUCUGACAUUUCCUGUAAAUCAGCAGACUAAUUACAAACUGUGUUUACACACUCGUGCACACACACACACCCUCCAAACUCUGUCACUCUCCCACCCACAUCCGUUCAGCUGGAACAUGCACCAAGUCAGUCAGCCUCAAUUAAAUCUACCUAAAUGUAUAAGCUUUUACAUGCAGCAGGUACGUUAUCAGACAAUCUGGAUGAACAAUCAUUUUGAUUUUAGUACGAAUGCAUGUAGUGUGAUGUUGAAACUUUGUGAGAAAUCGAAACCUACCGUGACAGAUUAAUCACAAAGUUGGGGUAUUUUUUUUUUAUAUUGAGAAAGUCCUUUAGUAUUCUCCAGUAUAAAAAAGUGGUGUAACCAAAGCUCUAUUUUGGUGAGACGGAUGUUGAAAACAAUAGUAUGGCUGCGAUAGCUCUCCUGUUAGCAAACAGAUGCUUCCUGUCCUCUUUUUUUCUUUCCAGCUAUCAGAGGAUGACUAUGAGUCCACAACUUUCUCAGACAUUUGCCUCUUCCCCUCCAGCAUGAGUACAAAGCUGAGGCCCUCUGAUAAUGCCUCCUUUACUAUAUCAGACAGUCACACCCUGACAUUUCUCUUUUUACCCAAAGUUAGAGAAGUGAUUUGGUUUUAUCACAGUGGGGAAAGGUGGGGACUUUUGCUUGAUGUGAAGUUUCCACAACAUAAGAAACUGUUGCAAGUGUAACUUUAGUUACUGUGGUGAGCAGAAAAAAGAGUGUAAAGUUGCAAAAACUCCUCUAACAUGAACAACAUCACCAGUUUGGGUUCAUUGGUACUUUUAUCUGCUGCAUUCACAUGUAGGCUCACUGACCAAGAGUGCUCAUGGGUUAGACUCAGUUCAGAGUUUGGUAAUCUUGUCAUAAUAUCUUCUGUUGAUUUAGUUUUUCACUGGUUUUAUUUGAGUGCAUUUUGUGUAUUUUCCCUAGUGUUUCUGUUCCCAAUUGUGUGAGUUUUUAGUUAGUGUUUGACCCAGUUUCCCUCCUGUUCUCUGUGUUUUAUUCUUAAGAUCACUUUUCUGUUUCAUGUUUUAUUUUGUAGUAGUUUAUUCCCCGUGUUUCUGGUCUGGUUGUACUUCCCUAGUUUUCCCUCUUUCGUUAAUCACCUGUUGCUCAUUUCCAAGUGUUUAUAUAGUUCCUGUCUUCCCCUCUGUCCUUGUUGGUUCAUUGUAUGUCGAUAUGUGUGUAUCCCUCUUCUUAGGGUCUGCAGCGACCUGUUCUUGAUUUCAAAUGCUAAAAAGAACCCCUUAAACUGAAGACUUUUUGACUUUGUCAGGAACCUCUAUUUCAACAAAAUAAAAAAAAUAAAAGUUAAACUGACUAAAUUAUAAAAUGCUCUUAUUAAAAUGAUGGCACUUGUUGUGUUGGGGUCGCUGUUGACCUGGUUAGAUCAAUAUCUAAUAAUCAGAGCAAAAAUUGAGAUCAUAAGUGAACUGCCAGACACCACACUGACAGUCAGAUCCUCCUCCAAUCAUGAGGGAUUUAGGAAAUUCUCAAAAACAAUGUCGGGCAUGUCCAGACAUGUGAGAUCAGUUUAGUAUAGAUGUCUGUAUGAGGGGUAUACUGACAAAGAAAGGCCCAGGGGCCCACAACAAAAAAAUAAUACAAGCAAUAUUUUCAUGGAUAAAGAAGCCUAACAAGGUAACCUAAAGAUGAGAACCAAACUAGAUGAUAGAGAAUUGUUUUUAGUGUAAUUUACAGCUGAUUUAAGACACAGGUCAAAAACCGACCCUUAACAUGGUGGGUGCGUAUUAAAAGCUAAAACAGGAGGAAGGUUUAAGCCUGUGUCCUCUUGUUCCUUGUGGUUUUUUCCACCAAUGUUUUUUUUUAUUUUGUAUUUAGCCUUUUGUAUUUUUUCUGGUUGGACAUUUUGAAGAAGGUUUUUGUUUUUUCAUUUAGUUCUUUUUAAUCUAACCUGUAGCCCCUCUGUGAAGUCUUUGACAUUUUCUUAGGCGUGGGAGUAUAAAAGUAUAUUUUCUUUAAAUUCGGCUUUGCUUCUUUUUUUAUUUGCUGUGGACAAAGUAUUGCGGUUAUGAAUCCGUUAUGAUACUUUACAUUAGUCAAAACAAACUACAGCUUAAAAAUGUGAACUCAACCUUCAACCAUAUUUCCAACAAGGCACGAGUUACGUAGUGUGUAGGCUACCUGCGCGUCAGUAUGAGUGCAUGACAAAGAGCCACUGUUGCUGAGCAGAAUGAGUCAAAAUGAAACUUACACACAACUGCUGCAAACUGACAAGAUUUAUAGAUCUCAGUUAAGGUGUUAGAAAUCUGAAUCAUAAAUCUGUUUUGACAGAAAGAGCUGACAGUAAAUCUGACAGAUUUUUCAUGAAGAAAGAACAGAUUUAUCUAACUCUUAAAGUUGAGAAACGUCUCCUUUGAGUGAGAAUGAUUAAACUUAAUUAUUCAUUCUUUUCAUCAGUUAGGCCAACUGGAGAAGAAGGCGUUAUCCAGGUGAAGCUGGGAGGAGAACAAAAAGCGAUAAAUGCAAAUCUGCUCUCACACCCCAGAGUUUGUCCUCUUGUUCCUCUUUAGUUGGUGGCCUGCUGACAUCAGGAAACACAAACUCAGUUGUUGCGUGUGACUGCAAAAUCUAGACUUCAACUUGUAGUGGCAUUAUAUACUGUAACUGGAUGACAAGUUAACUACAGGUCAGACAUAGCUGCUUUUGUCAUUUAAAAACCCUCUGUGUGUGACCUUAUUAAGUUAAAGCAGGUUUUUAUUGUCUAUUGGUAUGUACUUUCUAAAAAAAACCUGAAAAAUCACAUUCCUUGGAACUUUUGCUGACGCCAUUUUGUUUAUUAAUAGUAUAUUUGGUUCAUCCCAAAAAUCAGUCAUUUUAAGUGUCUCCAAACACAGCAAAGCUUCAGAAAACAUAAAAUAAUAAUCAUCAUAAUAUCUUCAUCUACAUAGCACCUUUAAAAACAGACGUUGACAAAGUUCUUGAACAGAGACAAGAAGAGUCAGGCGAAAAGACACAGAUUUGAUUUUGAUUUUGAUUUAUUUAUUUGCACAAAAUAUAAAAUAACAAAACAAGGUUAAAAAAUAUAAAAACAUAGAGAAGUGUGCAGGUGAGAGAGGAAACCCCGGAGGGCUUAUACAAGGCUCCCACCUUAAACAAUCAAAAUCACAAACAACGACAAUCGCAAAUAUUACAAAGAAAAAUGAGGACAACCUUCAAUAUACAUAUACAAAUAAUCAAUAAUAUGUGGAAUUUGCAAAUACAAAUAAAUUGAUAACAGUUGAUAGUCGACGGCAUCACAUCAAGAAAAUGGAAAAGAAGUCGGUGGAUAAAGAAUUGAUAAAAUAGUAAGAAUGAAUAAAUAAAAUAAAAUGAUAAUACAAAUAAUAAUUAGGAAAGGAGUGUAAGAAGAUGGUGAAGACAAAACAAUGAGCAACCGGUGAGGAGAUAAAGAACAGCAGAGAUUAAAAAUAUUAGAAUAAGUUAUUGUAAGACACAAAAUAGAAUAAUAUAAAUAACUAACAAGGUUAAAAAACAGGUAUGAGGGCGAUAAAAAAGGCAUCAUGUCAAAGCAAGUCUAAACAUGAAAUUCCCACUAAUGGUACCUAUCAGGAUGUUAUCUUAUCUCUUGAAUUGAACGUUAGCUUUGUGUUUUAGUCGUCCUCUUAUUUCAUUGUGUUCAGAAACACCUGUGCAAGCAAUAUCCUCAAAUUAUUCCCUCCCACACACACAGACAGACACAACACCAACAGCUGUCAUCUCAGCGAGUCUUACCCCACCCUGACCAUUUCCCAUUUCUAAAUGUCUCUGAUCUGUAAGCAAAUUUCACCAGCAGCACGUUUUAUAACAAAUAAUAAAUCAAACAGGUGUUUUCAAAUGUUUCACUUGACAUCGCAUGUUCACAUCAGGGAAUUCAUGCAUGGAUGACACUAGUCAGUGAUGUGGUUUCGCAACAAUCAGAGGUUAAAACUGUGCAGAAUAUCUUCAGGCAUAAUUUUAAUACAAUGAAGGUUGGUAUUUAGCGUGAGCUGUCACACCUCGAUCAAUAAAUAAAAGGGACGCACUUUUCUUUGAAAACACCAGCAGGGCAUGUGUCAGAAACAUCAUAACAGAGAUUAUUUUAAUUGAUGUUGAUGUUCCGAUUAUUAAAAAUUAUUAUCCAUGAUCUGACAUUUGCACAAAUUAAAAGCUCUUAAAAACUUCAAGAAGUUAGAUGUACUAUGCCUGAAAUGGAUCAUGAAUCAAUUCUACACUUUGAGAGCUUUGGCUUCAUUUUGGUGAUAACCUUGCCAAACUAAACGCCAGAUUUUACUUUUUGUAAAGUAUUUUGUCAUAAAGAUGGAAGGAUUUGAGCUCUUUUGUCACUUACAUUUUAUCACAGGCUGCAGAGCUGAUGAAUCAUGCAGUCUUCUCAAGGUUUUUUAUAAUGUCAGGACUUGAGCUUGUACUUUAUCGUGAUUUGGAAGGACGCUCCUGCAUGCUCGUGAUCUUUACACUCUCUUUUUAUGCUCAUUAUGUCCCUCACUUUUUCAGACACAGUUUUGAUUAUACCUGUAUGACUAAACAAGAUUUGGUUGUUUACCUACACUGACAAGCAGGUGUUUUAUAUUGUGUAACUCACAGCACAUCUUAGACUUUGCUUUGUAACAUCAAUUUGACUCUAAUAACUUGAUUACAUGACAAGUUUUCAUGGUUUGUACUUGUUCCUUUUUUUUUUUUUUUUUCUGGUUUUUUGGUUUUGGUGUUGUUAGUCAGGGUCACGAGAUGAAAACUCAGGGAAAUACCAAGAGGGUUUGAUUUUUUUCUUCCAGCUCUCGAGGUGUGAAUGUGUGUGUUGGGGGUGGAAGCGUUAGAGGAAGAUAAAUGCUGCGUUUUCAACUCUGUCAUUGCACAACUAAAAUGUGGAAAAUGUUUACACUCUGUGGGUGGAAAGCACCGGAGAUAUCUUUGUCCCCCUACAUGGUCUUACGCGCACGCGUGCAUUCACACACUUCGACUUGUGUCGCGUCUAAUGUGGUUUUUGCUUUUGAGGUGUUUUGGCUGCUGUUUCAUCUCUGUAGGGCAGGGACCAAACAACGGCUCAGUGUGUGAGAUUUGCCUGUCACGCCUUUUUCUGUGGUCAACUGCUCACCGGAACUUUGCCAAAGUUUUCUUCAGUCAAGUUUUAAUUUGUCUUUCUUAUGAUACAUUGCCAAAACUCUAGAGUCAAUAUGCAAACUAGUAAGAUUUCACCUUUAAACAAGGUAGAGCAGGAAUAAGGUCAUGUGAUGAUUCAGAGCUGGAAGAAGAACUGUAACACACUGACUGUAUAAAUAUGCACCUAGCUGAACUCUCUUGAAACAUGCUAAACUUUAUUUAAAGUACUAAAAAAAGAGAAGUUGCAGUGAUGUGCUGUAUGAUCUUCCAUUUUUACUUUCUAAAACAUUACAACCACUCUUCUUCUUCUUCUUCUUCUUCUUCUUUUUCUUCUUCUUCCUCCUCCUCUCCUUCUUCUUGUUUUUGUCCUUCUUCUAACACACUCAGUGGUUGGAAGCUUUCGAGUUUCGCUGUGUACGUGCAGUCCAUUUCAUUUUUUGGGUCAUAGUAAAACAGACUCAUCUCUUUUUAUAUACGUAUAUAAAGUGUCUUGGCAGUUCAGAGACUUCCACAGAGACCUUUUCCUCUUCCUCCUCCUCCACUGAACUUUGUUCGUAUGAAAAUACGUGGAGAGGAGAGGAAACAUUUUAUUUACUCACAUCAGACACAAAAACAGUCAAAGCAUCUGUGCAUGCAUUCAGUCAGAUGACCCUGAAGUUGUUUGACACACUAAUGUGUAUUAUUCAUAACAUUUAAAAGAUUUUAGACACUGAGUGUAACACAAACGUAUACUUUAUGGAUAAUGCAGUACGUAUCUGUGUGUUUUCUUCCCGUUUCAAGAACUAACCAUGAUCAACUCUUGUUAAAUUCAACAGUUUCACAGAAGCUUCACAUUUUAUAAAUCCUCAAACAUAUAUAUUAUGAUGGAGCAUCAUUGCGCAAAUAUUUAAUAUAUUUUCUCCUCUGACACAGUUUCAAACUCUGUAAAUAAUCUCAAAAACUAACAACAUCAUCAUUUUAUCUCAUACAUAAUAUUUCACUAAAAAAAUCCAAAUGAAUUGGGACUACAUGAUUAUUUUUAUUAUCAUGGGAAUUUCCUGGUGGAGAUUUUCCAGAGUUAAAUAUAAAACAAUGUAGUAAAGCGGUAUUUGCAUCAAUAAUGUGUAAUUUUUUGUCAUUUCAAUUUACCGUCAUCCUCUUGAGAGGAGUUUUUACGUGAUUUACAUGGCAAAAGCGUACAGGACAAAUCAGCAAGGAGGAAAAAAAAAGUACUGAUUUAUCCACAAAAUGUAAGAAAGGAACCUUUAUGGGUUUACUCUCCUGUUUAUGAACUUGUUAAUCUAAUUUAAUAAUCAAGUUGCCACUGAGUUUAAAUUGAGUAGACAGAAUUUUUCCUAAACACAUUAAUGUUGGUUCACCUAAUUCUCUACGGUUAACUUAACCCAACUUUGUUAAAGUUUAGAUAAUAAGAAAACCAUUUUCACUGCUGCAAGUCUCAGUUUUAGAAAACACCAUUUAAAAACACACAAAAAGUUCUCACAGUACCUUCAAGUCAAGUUUAAGUAGUUUAAUCUUCAUGAGCUGGCCGUUGAAGUCAACCCAAGUGUUUAUCAAGUCAAGAAGAUCGCCAAAUUUUUCUACUUGUCAGCACAAGUCAGUUCAAUAUCUUGCCCUUGUUGGUUUUGCAGUUUGUUUGUUUUCUCAUACAUCAUGUUUCCCGAGCAAAAUGUCUUCUAAACAGUUCAAUUUGACAGCUUUUUUUUUUUUUUUUUGAGAACUUUAUUCUCAGGAAUUGCUCAAGUAGAAUCAAAACAGCUGCUUUCAAAUUUAAGGAUUAGGAUUUUAAGAAGGCUGUGGCUAAGAAAAAAACAACAACAGCAUUCAGGUAGUGCCACAGAGCAAUAGAAGGUGUUUAAAAACAACACAAACUGUUCACUGAAGCUGUAAGGAAAUGACAAGAGGAUCUUUAGGACCAGGUACUCACUACAGAAGAGCUCAUAGUGGAUUUUAACGCUUUAAAUGAGAUUAAAUUAAUUCUGUAUUUGCACCUGUCACGCUUGUUGGACUUCUUUAAAAAAGGAAAAUGUCUAAUUUAAAAUGAUCAACUAUUUAAUUGUAUUACAGUAAAAAUAAUGAUGAGAAUGAACAAAGACUACUUUAAAAAAAGGGAAUUCUGACUAUUUUUAUCAGUUUUACAUGAUUAUGCAACAUACAACCUUUUGGCACAUUUAAAAAAUAAUCAAAUUUUGCCCAUAGUUGUUGUUUCUUCCUCUUUUUUUUCAUAAUUUCCUGUUAUACAUAUUUAACUAUUUUUUUAUGCACUUAGAUAUCAUGAUUUCUGUAAAGGCAGAUAGAUGCACAUAUUUCUAAACAUUCUGGGUCACCGGUGACUUUAGGAAACAACUUCACUUGUUUUUUUUUUGACUCAGUGAAAGACUUUGAUCCAUGCCUGAACACAUCAUUUUCAACCAAAGUGUAUAGAGGUCAUAAAAGUAAUCAGGAGGUCAUGUCAAUUGAUUAUUGGGCAGAUAUCAAAAAGGUUGAACACAGGUCAACAUUUUACAGUCCUAAAGCCGCUGCGUCAUUUCUUUGUAUUCACCAAGCACUAAAUACUGAAUGAUAGCGAUGAUUAGAUGCUGGCACAGCUGCAGAAAUUAUCACUAGUUAAACAAUGAUGUUACAGAUUAAAAAGUUUCUUUUUUUAUUGUUAGUACAUGUUAUCAUGUCAUUUGUUUUCAUAUCUAUGUGAAAUGUUGAAAAUUUCCUUAAAAUAAUUGACAUAUCCUAAAGCGUAAUAGAGGUCAAGGGUGUGUCCAGAGAGGUGGUUUAAGGUGGCAUGGACCCCUUUAAACUAUGACUGAAAUUUUCUGUUGGACUCAUAGUCCCAUCCUCACAAUAAAGGCGUAAAAAAGACCCUUAAAGAUAUAAGGAGUGGAAACAGAGGGAGGAGGUAAAGGCACAUCAACACAUCAUAGAUAAGAGAGUACAUCUCCUCCAGGAUUAUAAAAUUAAAGGAGUGAAGUAUAGAAAAGAUGCAACAUCUUUAGUCGCAGAGAAUUGUUAGAGAUGUGAAUUACUUUCUUCGCAGGCUUGAUGUUAUCACCUAUUUAAGAUAUUGGCUUCAGAAACGUGAAUUAAAGGCACUGUAAGGAGUUUUUAAAUGCUUGAGAAACAGGCUGAACCUGAUGCUCAUGCCUCUUUAUGAUCUAAAAGAAACAUGAUCAUCAGCAACAAGAGUGAAAAUAUCUCAGUAGUGAUAUUGGACGUCUGAAACCACCUUGAGGGGGUAGGUGUCAAACCAGAGGAUUGACAGGAGACAGCUUGAGGGUUUUGUCCAAAAAGCCGGCUUCUCUCAGUCCACAAACCAAAAGCUCAGACUUUUGUAACUACAGGCAGGACUUUAGUUUGAAUGCAACAAAUACUAACUUUGCUUUCAGACUGAUCCAGUCUUUCUACUCCUUAUUUGGUUAUUUAAGAGGGACGCAGGUUUUCCACAUUUCUAUGAGUUCUUUUGCUUCCUUCAAAUGUGUCCUGGAAUUUGUUUCAUAAUGCAGAAACGUUUUCAAUCAUACUUCAUCUUUUUUCUUUUUACAGUCUGCACGAUAUCGAAGUAAUCCUGGUUCCCUUCACGUCUCCGUCUGCUGAAGGAGGAAGGCUGCUGGAUCACAUCCGUCUACAAAGGAAGAGUGUCUGAAACUAGAAGGAUGACAGACUGUGGGAACUGCUAAUUUGUCAUGAUGUGGACACGAAGGGUUAGAGCCAUUUUAACAGUUUCACAUCUGCAUUUUAACUUUUUUUAAAAUCCUUUACACCACACAGUCAGUGGAUCUGAACAUGGCUUUUAAAAGGAUGUUUUUAAUACCAAACACGGACACCGAUUUUGAUUUGGCGCGAUAUAUCCGCCGUAGAUGAUCGGCAACAAUAAAAAGCAGACCUUCAUGAUAAGGGGGAUAUCAAACACGGAACAAAAGACGUUACUCAGGUACGGUUGUAUGAAAUGUUUAACACACAGCUGCACGGCGUCGACCCUGACCUCAGUUUGGCUGAUUAAUGAUUCACCUGUUAUGUAGCCUGUUUGCUUGUUAUACUUUGAUAAAGCUAUGAUGUGUGUUUUUUUUUAUACCAGCGCAGUAAACAAGGGGGGGAAAUCAAACUUCCAUAUGAGGUGAUAGAGUUUUUAAAAAUAGUGGUUUGAUGAUAAAGUCACACACUACAACGAGCAUUGUAUUUAAAUCAAGUGUAUUGUGAACGGCUAUCUAUAAAUUACAAUAAAUUUAUGCAUUUCUCUACUAA
rnacentral:lncRNA from 1 species